rnacentral:rRNA from 1 species
CCCUUAGAUGUUCUGGGCCGCACACGCGCUACACUGGAGGAGGCAGCGUGUACUCCUGGAUCGAAAGAUUUGGGUAACCCGCGAAUCUCCUUCGUGCUAGGGAUUGAGGUUUGCAAUUAUCCUUCAUGAACGAGGAAUUCCCAGUAAGUGCAAGUCAUAAGCUUGCGCUGACUACGUCCCUGCCCUUUGUACACACCGCCCGUCGCUACUACCGAUUGAAUGAUUUAGUGAGGACUUCGGACUGGGACCGAUGCGGCUUUCGGGCUGCGUCGGUAUUCUGGAAAGAUGUCCAAACUGUAUCAUUUAGAGGAAGUAAAAGUCGUAACA